UGAUGGAGAGCUUAAUUUAAAUAAGCAGGGUGACAAUAUACAGCCUUGAUGUACAUCUUUCCCCAUCUGGAACCAGUCUUUUAUUUCAUGUCCAGUGCUAAUUGUUCCUUCUUGACUUGCAUACAGAUUUCUCAGGAGGUGAGUCAGGUGGUCUGAUAUUCCCAUCUCUUUAAGAAUUUUCCACAGUUUGUUGUGAUCCACACAGUCAAAGGCAUUGGCAUAGUC